GAUGAACGCUGGCGGCGUGCCUAAUACAUGCAAGUCGAGCGAACGGACGAGAAGCUUGCUUCUCUGAUGUUAGCGGCGGACGGGUGAGUAACACGUGGAUAACCUACCUAUAAGACUGGGAUAACUUCGGGAAACCGGAGCUAAUACCGGAUAAUAUUUUGAACCGCAUGGUUCAAUAGUGAAAGACGGUCUUGCUGUCACUUAUAGAUGGAUCCGCGCUGCAUUAUCUAGUUGGUAAGGUAACGGCUUACCAAGGCAACGAUGCAUAGCCGACCUGAGAGGGUGAUCGGCCACACUGGAACUGAGACACGGUCCAGACUCCUACGGGAGGCAGCAGUAGGGAAUCUUCCGCAAUGGGCGAAAGCCUGACGGAGCAACGCCGCGUGAGUGAUGAAGGUCUUCGGAUCGUAAAACUCUGUUAUUAGGGAAGAACAAAUGUGUAAGUAACUGUGCACAUCUUGACGGUACCUAAUCAGAAAGCCACGGCUAACUACGUG
rnacentral:rRNA from 1 species